CUUCAUCUCACUAUGACAUGAUGAUCUGAGCGGCAUCAUUUUGAUUCUUUUGCAUUUGCUCCAGCAUGCUUCCUGGGCUAGAACACAGUGUGAUUUAGAGACAGCCCCACGGGCUGCUGAGGAGAGUGUGCACUAUCUCUUGAUGCACACUGGACGAGGCACUACAGGCCUUGCCUCUCGCCCAAGAACAAGUCACCUUCAUUAAUUUGGGAGGGGACGAUGCAGAGUAAUUGGCCCAGCACCCAGUUCUCCAGGAAAGGACCAUGGCAUUAAUUAUGCAAAGUAAUCUGGAUAUUGGCCUACAGAGAACCAACUAGGCCACUCUGGCAUAACAACUAUAUCAGCAACAAUAAUAGCGUCAAACACAAACUGGACACUGACAGGCCAUGAGACUCAAUAACCUUUAAUUAUAGAAAGUAGAACUGCCCUUAACUAUGCAAAAUAGAUCUAUAAUUAUAGUAUAAACAACAAGACUAAUGAAAUAGAGAUACAUUGCAAAUAUCUACUAAAUGUGACAGCUGUUCCUCCACUAACAAUAGAAAAGAAUUCAACCGUAACAGCAUAGACAUAACUACUUAAAUAUUAGUAAGGCCUCGUGGUUGUACUAGCAAAAAUAGAAGGAGUGGGGAAUAGGAGACUUAAAGAAGAAAAAGUAACCAAUGAAAUGGGAGGAGAGAAGAGUUAGAGGAUUCUGUAAAAGAGUAACAGAAAUGAACAAAUGGGAAAAAGGAAGGGGGAGAGGGAGGGAAGAAGGAAGGAAGG